AGAAAGCAAAUCGGGGAAGUGGGGAACAUCUGAGCCUCGGCGGCCCCUUUCACAUCCCUGUCUGCUGUGUUGGUCCUAGGAGGCACCAAAAGGCUCCAUUCUCCAGUUUCAGCCACCUGUCCUUCAGCCACCAGGGUCUUGAAGCUGAAGCUGCCUGCCUAGCCUACCUGCCUUUGCGAUCCCAUCACGUCCCCAUUCUGGCUUCUGGAGACUAGAAAACUGGCAAAAACUGACAAAGCUCUGACAGUUUGGUGCUGGGAGGAAGAGGAGCUGUAUCUUCGUCCCUCUGCCCCUCACCUGGAAAUCUGUGUGAUAUAUUGGAGCAUCUGUUUAUAUAUCGGAAUGAGCACUGGACUAGGAGUCAGACUUAUGUUCUGUUCGUUUUUUCCUUGCCUCUAAACCAGGAGGAGUUGGAAGAUGAAUAAACGAAUGCUUAGAUAAUGGCUCAAAAAAUAAUAGUUCAUAGAUUUUUUUGAUAGAGGCAAAUGACCUUACAGCUCAUAGAAUGUGUUGGGUUUUUCAAACUUUGUAUUAGCUGUAGGACUGUGUCUUUGAAUGCUUUCAGUAUGGAACCCAAAUAUACAAACCCGCUAGAGGCGGAGAUGCUCUGUUAAGCAGAGCAGGUGGCCCAGAACCUUUGCCCUGGGCUUCUGUCUUCCCCAUCCUGACCUCUGGGCCCCAGGGACAUGGUUUAAAAAUCAUGGGCCUAAUGAGUUGUGUUCAGGUUCCGAAUGUGGAAACAGGGAUUCUCUCCGGGUCUGACCUGCCUCUGCUGUUCCAGUCCGUUCAGCCUGUACACUGACAAGUGUGCCUUUGCCUGUGCUAUGGUUCUGGCUGCUAGUGAGCCAGGGCGUGAGAGGAGAGAGACAUUAGCCUGGCCCAGGUCAUUUGCCUUCUGGGAGAAGGCAGGAUCAGACUCCAGCCUAAGGAAGUCUCUGGAGGAUUGGCGUCUGUGGUCACAGCAAAGAUGAGAAGAAGAGUGGGACAGAUGCCCUUGGACCCUUUGCACACCAACACUUCCACGUCACAAAAUCCAGGCCUCGGGUUCAGGUCUUGUGCUUAAGGAUACAGAGAGGAACAAGACACAGCACCAGUCCUCCAGGAACUCACCCACAUAGGAAUGAAGGGACAGGGAUAAGCCAUCAGGACACUCUGUGUAUGGCCAUCAAAGAGAUGAAGAGGCUUGCCCCAAGUCCCUGCGGGGGCAAAGUCAAGACUGGACUUGGACCUUCUGAUGCCCCAUUCUCAGUGGAAUCCGCAAACACUUAAUGAGUCCCUGCCAUGUGCCCAGCAUUGCUCACCACAGCAGAGAUAGUGGUGAAGAGAACAGAUCCGGACUUGCCCACGCAGAGCUUACAGGGGUGCUAGGAAGCUGCACACUAAAUAAACACUUGUAUGUGCUUAGAGAAGUAGUUGCAAGUGACUUGGAAGAGAAAUGCAGGGUUCGGGGGGACCCCAGACUGUUUGGAGGAUUGUGAAAGCCUCACUAAAAAAGCACGUUAAAUUGCACAAGAGUGAGCGGAAGAGGAGCUGGUGGAUUUCUAAAUGGUACCAGGCUAACUCAGGAAGACUUGGUUUGAUGUUGGAAAACUCCACUGCACCAGGGUUAAUUAGAUCACUUUGGCUCAGUCUCUUUGCCACAGGGCUCAGGGAGAAGGCUACCCAUCAGCUCAGAGACUUUGGUGCCUCCUGGCCCUUCAUUCAGCAAGAAGGUGACAGGAGGUGCUUCAGGUCUGCUCUGGAGGGGGACGCCUCACCCUUGCUGGCACAGUUCAGGCAUAUUCGACACAUGGGUUGUUUUUGCCAAAGGAGUGCCUACAAUGUGAGCUUGGUCAUUAACAAAAAUAAAUUCUUAGCUCCUGGAAGUGGAAAAUAUUAUUACCUACAAGGCACAUUGUAAACCUUAUGUCAUUUCACCUAAGUGGUAAAAUGCAGCUUUUUCAAGACAGGAAUGCAUUUUAGUCACCAUCAGUACUAUAUCCAGAGUUUCUCUUCAUGUUUUCUUGUGAGAUUUCGGUGCACCUUGUUAAACUCUACCUAAGAAACUCCAGCCGCAUCCCACAUUGAUCUUAGAAAAUUAAACCUGACAGGGGCGCCUGGGUGGC